AAAGGUACUAUGGCUGAAAGGGAACAGGGAGGAAGGACUCAGGAAGCCUUGUGUGCUCAGUCUAAACACCUGGCUACCCAGCAAAAAGCAGGGCCAGUGCUAUGUUCCGGGGAUGCAGUCAUUUAUAAGAGCAUCAUGGUCUCUGUUUCUUAUGGAGUUCACAGUCUCAGAGGAGGAAAAUGAGCUGCAGAAGGAUCAAAUGACCUGCCUGAGGUGCCCUAUCUGUUGGCACAGGCCAGAGCACAUGGUGGAUGCAGGGGCACCCCCUUCCCUUCUCCUCCCCUCCGGCUCUUUGCUGACAGGAUUCUCUCUUGCCUUCUCUGAUGGUACCUGUGCUACGUGCCACAUCCUUUCCCUCAAUGAAUUUCAGGCAGUGGAAGGGGCCGCAGAAGUUCCUUGACUCAUGAGGCGAGGCAUUCAGCGGCCUCGUGACACCUCCCAGGAUCUGCAGUCAUUGGGCUGCACUUGCCAAUAGCAACACCUGGCAAAAAUAGCUAAGAAGCAGAGCGGCCUGGGCUCAGGAGCUGAGCAACCCCUGACUGGCCAGAUGGAGACUGUGUUGAGCUCUGCCCAAGCCCUGUGAUCCUGGAAAACAGUGAAGUUAAGGAGCCAUCUGCAUUCUAGGGAAUGGCCCACUGCAAAAAAUAGCCUUCCUUAUAGGACGUAGAGGACUCAUGAUGUCCCCUCAUUUAUGAUGAGCCAACACACAGCCCUUCCAAAUUCCGAUUCUUUGCUUCAUAACUGAUGAGCUGUUUUGUUCCCACUGGUCAAUCGGAACAACAUUCUUGCUAACCAGAUUUUGGUUCAGCUCUUCUCCCUCCCCAUGUACCUGCCCUGUGUCCUGUCCUCAUCCUGAGCCAGCACACACCCCUCCUUAGUAGCUCCUCCUGCAGCAGGCUGACCUCGGACUCUCCCUGAUCCAUUGUCCAAAUAUAUCACCCUUUCACCCUACAUCCUCACACCCCAUUCUUUCUAGUUUUGUUCAUUCCUCCCUGUGAAAGAUGAACCCUCUUUGCCUAACCCCGGACCUGCUUGCAGACUGCUAUGAUGGCCAGAGUGUCCCCCCUACUGCAAGAGUCCCUUCUGUCCCUUGCAACAUCUUUUAAAUAAAAUCUCUCUUUACCAA
ensembl:lncRNA LINC02346 long intergenic non-protein coding RNA 2346